rnacentral:rRNA from 1 species
UGGGGAAUAUUGCACAAUGGGCGCAAGCCUGAUGCAGCCAUGCCGCGUGUGUGAAGAAGGCCUUCGGGUUGUAAAGUACUUUCAGCGGGGAGGAAGGGAGUAAAGUUAAUACCUUUGCUCAUUGACGUUACCCGCAGAAGAAGCACCGGCUAACUCCGUGCCAGCAGCCGCGGUAAUACGGAGGGUGCAAGCGUUAAUCGGAAUUACUGGGCGUAAAGCGCACGCAGGCGGUUUGUUAAGUCAGAUGUGAAAUCCCCGGGCUCAACCUGGGAACUGCAUCUGAUACUGGCAAGCUGGAGUCUCGUAGAGAGGGGUAGAAUUCCAGGUGUAGCGGUGAAAUGCGUAGAGAUCUGGAGGAAUACCGGUGGCGAAGGCGGCCCCCUGGACGAAGACUGACGAUCAGGUGCGAAAGCGUGGGGAGCAAACAGG